GCCCAGCCGUAAACUUUAACUUACAUUAAAAUCGCCAGGGAACUACGAGCUAAGCUUAAAACCCAAAGGACUUGACGGUACCCCAUAUCCCCCUAGAGGAGCCUGUUCUAUAAUCGAUAAUCCACGUUUAACCUCACCAUUUUUAGUUAAUCAGCCUGUAUACCUCCGUCGUCAGCUUACCACGUGAGCGCCAAUUAGUGAGCUUAAUGUCUUUCACCAACACGUCAGGUCAAGGUGCAGCAAAUGAAAUGGGAAGAGAUGGGCUACACUUUCUAUAUUAGAAAAAACGAAAAACUACUUAUGAAAACUAGUUGGAAGGCGGAUUUAGCAGUAAAAAGGAAUCAGAACGUCCAUUUUAACCCGGCACUGGGGUGUGUACACACCGCCCGUCACCCUCUUCAAAGCUUAUAACCUAGUUCUUAACAAACUAAAGCAUAACAGAAUAGGCAAGUCGUAACAUGGUAAGUAUACCGGAAGGUGUGCUUGGAAA
rnacentral:rRNA from 1 species